CCUAAUACAUGCAAGUCGGACGGGAUUUAACUUAAAGCUUGCUUUAAGUUAAUGAGAGUGGCGCACGGGUGCGUAACGCGUGAGCAACCUACCUCUAUCAGGGGGAUAGCCUCUCGAAAGAGAGAUUAACACCGCAUAACAUCAACAGUUCGCAUGUUCGGUUGAUUAAAUAUUUAUAGGAUAGAGAUGGGCUCGCGUGACAUUAGCURGUUGGUARGGUAACGGCWUACCAAGGCGACGAUGUCUAGGGGCUCUGAGAGGAGAAUCCCCCACACUGGUACUGAGACACGGACCAGACUCCUACGGGAGGCAGCAGUAAGGAAUAUUGGUCAAUGGGCGGAAGCCUGAACCAGCCAUGCCGCGUGCAGGAUGACUGCCCUAUGGGUUGUAAACUGCUUUUGUCCAGGAAUAAACCWAGAUACGUGUAUCURRCUGAAUGUACUGGAAGAAUAAGGAUCGGCUAACUCCGUGCCAGCAGCCGCGGUAAUACGGAGGAUCCGAGCGUUAUCCGGAUUUAUUGGGUUUAAAGGGUGCGUAGGCGGCCUGUUAAGUCAGGGGUGAAAUACGGUGGCUCAACCAUCGCAGUGCCUUUGAUACUGACGGGCUUGAAUCCAUUUGAAGUGGGCGGAAUAAGACAAGUAGCGGUGAAAUGCAUAGAUAUGUCUUAGAACUCCGAUUGCGAAGGCAGCUCACUAAGCUGGUAUUGACGCUGAUGCACGAAAGCGUGGGGAUCGAACAGGAUUAGAUACCCUGGUAGUCCACGCCCUAAACGAUGAUAACUCGAUGUUGGCGAUAGACCGCCAGCGUCCCAGCGAAAGCGUUAAG
rnacentral:rRNA from 1 species